rnacentral:rRNA from 1 species
UAGGGAAUCUUCCACAAUGGGCGGCAAGUCUGAUGGAGCAACGCCGCGUGAGUGAAGAAGGUCUUCGGAUCGUAAAACUCUGUUGUUAGAGAAGAACAUGCGAGAGAGUAACUGUUCUUGUAUUGACGGUAUCUAACCAGAAAGCCACGGCUAACUACGUGCUAG